rnacentral:rRNA from 1 species
AUACAGAGGGUGCGAGCGUUAAUCGGAAUUACUGGGCGUAAAGCGCGCGUAGGCGGCUUAUUAAGUCAGAUGUGAAAUCCCCGGGCUCAACCUGGGAACUGCAUCUGAUACUGGUAAGCUAGAGUUUUGGAGAGGGAAGUAGAAUUUCAGGUGUAGCGGUGAAAUGCAUAGAGAUCCGAAGGAAUACCAGUGGCGAAGGCGACUUCCUGGCCAAAAACUGACGCUGAGGUGCGAAAGCGUGGGUAGCAAACGGGAUUAGAUACCCCGGUAGUCC